rnacentral:rRNA from 1 species
GCUUGGCGGCCAUAGCGUCCCGGUACCACCCCUUCCCAUCCCGAACAGGACCGUGAAACAGGACCGCGCCAAUGAUAGUGAGCUUCCGCUCGCGAAAGUAGGUCACCGCCAAGC